CAAACUCCUGUCUUGUGUCUCCCGCAUUGGCAGUUGGAUUCUUUUACCACUGAGCCACCAGGGAAGCCUGUGACCCCAGGCAACUUAAGUUAAAUAACUUCUCUAGGCUUCACUGUGACCUAAUAAAUGCUACCUUCUAAGUUCCCUUGGGGUAUUAGUUGAUGGCAGGCUUUGUCCACCUCAUAACCAUCACAAUAGCUAAACUUUACCAUGAAUACUUGCCAAGAACUUGCCAAGAACAAGAGAAUGUGCUAAAAGCUGUUUAAUUAUUCUCAGUCUCAGGAAGCUGGUUCUACAAUAUGUAAAAGGUCUUCUCUUCGGACGUCCACCUGGCCAGGAAGGAAGGACAAGGUGGUAUGACCAUCUUGUGUUCCACUGCUGAGCGCCCAUGCCUUCCUCUAGUCAUCAGGCCUGGCUCUGCUGGGAGCACGAACCCAAUCAACAACGUCAGGGGAGACAGUGCUUCCUGGGGAAGCCAGAGAGACACAGGGAAACAUCUUGGGUACAGGUGACACAGAAUUCAGGGUAGUCUGGAGGCAUAACAGCUUCCACUCCUGAAAAGGGCUCUCUUUUGGAAGCUGCUGGCUGCAACCAAGGUGUAUCAAUCACUUCUGCACCAUGGCGCUUGAAGCAGCUGAUGAUUACAUCAAACACCUUCUCCCGAACUGCCAUCUGCCGGGGACUAUAA